rnacentral:piRNA from 1 species
UCCUAGUCAUCAUGUGUGGCGUUCCCUGC